rnacentral:rRNA from 1 species
UACGGAGGAUGCAAGCGUUAUCCGGAUUUAUUGGGCGUAAAGCGUCCGUAGGUGGUUCAUCAAGUCUGCUGUCAAAGCGCGAGGCUUAACUUCGUACAGGCAGUGGAAACUGGUGGACUUGAGAGUGAUAGGGGCAGAGGGAAUUCCCAGUGUAGCGGUGAAAUGCGUAGAGAUUGGGAAGAACACCGGUGGCGAAAGCGCUCUGCUGGGUCAUAUCUGACACUGAGGGACGAAAGCUAGGGGAGCGAAAGGG